GAGCAAAUUGGAUUCAGAUGGCCAUAGGAAUAAAGGAGUCUCACUUAGUUAUUUCAUUAAAAAAAAAUAUUUUUUUAUUUCAAUCAUCAAAAUUUAAUUUCUACUUCUUUUGAUAUUCAAAUUUUAUUUCAAUUUAGAUUCCGAUUCGAUUCUAAGUUAAAAUUUUAUUUUUAUUUUAAUUUUUGUUAAGAAAAUUAUAUCAAGA
rnacentral:lncRNA from 1 species